rnacentral:rRNA from 1 species
UACGGAGGGUGCAAGCGUUAUCCGGAUUUACUGGGCGUAAAGCGCGCGCAGGCGGUUCUGUAAGUCGGACGUGAAAGCCCGGGGCUCAACCUCGGAAGUGCGUCUGAUACUGCAGGACUGGAGUACUGGAGAGGAGAGCGGAAUUCCCGGUGUAGAGGUGAAAUUCGUAGAUAUCGGGAGGAACACCAGUGGCGAAGGCGGCUCUCUGGACAGAUACUGACGCUGAGGCGCGAAAGCGUGGGGAGCAAACAGG